AGAGUUUGAUCAUGGCUCAGGACGAACGCUGGCGGCGUGCUUAACACAUGCAAGUCGAGCGAGAAACCUUCGGGUUUCUAGCGGCGGACGGGUGAGUAACACGUGGGUAACCUGCCUCAAAGUGGGGGAUAGCCUUCCGAAAGGAAGAUUAAUACCGCAUAACAUUGUAGCUUCGCAUGAAGCAGCAAUUAAAGGAGCAAUCCGCUUUGAGAUGGACCCGCGGCGCAUUAGCUAGUUGGAGAGGUAACGGCUCACCAAGGCGACGAUGCGUAGCCGACCUGAGAGGGUGAUCGGCCACAUUGGAACUGAGACACGGUCCAGACUCCUACGGGAGGCAGCAGUGGGGAAUAUUGCACAAUGGGCGAAAGCCUGAUGCAGCAACGCCGCGUGAGUGAUGAAGGUCUUCGGAUUGUAAAGCUCUGUCUUUUGGGACGAUAAUGACGGUACCAAAGGAGGAAGCCACGGCUAACUACGUGCCAGCAGCCGCGGUAAUACGUAGGUGGCAAGCGUUGUCCGGAAUUAC
rnacentral:rRNA from 1 species